GUGGUGACUGUUAGAAAAACAUAGAGGCCUAACUUGAAUAGUAGAAAGUCUGGCAUCUGGUGGGCGGGGCUUUUAUGUUGUGCUCUGGAAUCAGCCCUUCCUUCGGAUGUUCAGUUAAGUUCAGUUAGAGAGACCAACUGUCAUUCUUGCCUCAUGUUGUUGUUUUAGUUGCUCUUAGACAGUAUGCUAUUGUGUUACAAUGUUCUUUAUUAGUAAAGCUUUCUUUGACAUACAGUGGACCCUCCGGAUAUGAAUUAAAUUCAUUCCGGGGGUCCGUACUUAACACGAAAAGUCCGUAACUGGAGGCGCCACAUCUGCGCACAUGGCACAAUAGAGCGCUUCUAUGCAUGCGCGCGGGGCAAAACUCAGAAGUAUACACUUCCGGGUUUGCCACGUUCACAACCUGAAAAUUACGUAUCCAGAGCGGUACAUAACUUGAGGGUCCACUGUAUACGUGAGCAGGGGUGUACGAAUGGAGGUGCGUGGGAUGCAGUUCACCCCGGGUGUCAUGCCUGAGGGGGUGACAAAAUGGCACACCGCAGGGGGCGGCACUUACCGUGGGGCCUGGCCUGCUGUGCACCCAAGCCACUCGUCUCUCCAGGGAGUGACGCGGUGGCUCUGGGCCCCAUGCUGUCUGAAACGACAGCAUGGGGCUUGUGUCCACCAGGCAGACUCCGCUGGCAGCUCACCGUGGUGCCCCCUUGGGCAGAUUGCCCCGGCGCCCCCGUGCCCCGCGUGGGCGGAUCCCUCCCCCGCUACUCCAGGUGCUGGAGCAGCUAGCUACGCCCCUGUACGUGAGCCGCUUACUUUGCUGAAAGAAAAUAAACCCUGAUGAAGAAUGGUGGAAUAUCCUAAACUGGCUGAGAGAGGGGAUAUCCCCACUCUGACAGGAGGAUUGAUUGUUUUAAGCACUCCCACCCUCCACAACAGUGAGUAGGUGCUUUCUUCUAAUUGAUGGAAGGCACGGCCACACCAUUUUGUGAUCCUGUCUCUUUUCUCUUUUAGAUGUGGCAGCCAUUUUGUGUUAUGUCACGCCUCUACUUCAGCCCUUUUGUUGUGCCAUGCCAUGCCAUGCCCCGCCCCACAUAGCAGCCUUUUUGUGACUGGCUCCCAUGGCACUUUAAAAAAAUUCUUCAUGUGCCUACCAGUUCCCCCAAAAUAUUGACAGCCCUUGACUGUUCUAGCUCUUCUUUUAAUGCACUAUAAUUGAUCUGCAAUAGUUGUAACGUUGAUCAUAAGCUCUGAAAUAGUCACCGUAAGUCAGCCAAGAGCAAACCUUGGCUACAGCGUGUAGUUAGUGUAAAGAGAACUUAACCCUGAGACUCAGGCCACAUGCAAACUAUACACUUAAAGCAACAUGAAGCCAUUUUAAACAGUCAUGGCUCCCCCAGUAUAAUUCUGGGAGCUGUUGUUUAUUAACAGUGCUCAGUUGUUUUAAAAAAUACCCCGUUUCCCUCACAGAGUUACAAUUUCCAAAAUUCUACAUUCCCAGAAUUCUUUUGGAGGAGCCAUGACCGUUUAAAGCGGCGUCAUAGUGCUUUAAAUAUAUGAUGUGACUGUGCACCAUACAACACACACAAAGGCUAAGCCAAAACUUCUCUUGGCUUAGUGUGGUGCAGCAGUAAAAAGGACUAGGGAGGAUCAACGUAUCUGUAAGUUCCUCUUUGGGAGCUCUUGCAGUCUCACUAAGCCAAAAUUUGGUUUCAUGUGUUAUGCAAAGUAGGUCAGCCUUACCUCAUAUUUCCUUUCAAGUCGAGGUAUUUAGCCAUAGGACAAUGCUUACAAUCAUUCACAACUCUAUAAACAGCUAUGUCUUUACAAUAAUAAAAUGAUUUAUUCACAAGAGGGAUGAGAGUUCUUAUGUUACCUUAUGAUAAGAGAAAAGGGCUACUGCCUUUCUAGUAAAAAUAGGACCUGCAUUGCUGUGCCCUGUAAAUUUAUUCAUUUACUAAGUUCUGUUUGGUCUGCUAGGGAGCACCCUGCUUAUCCAUGAACAACCUGAUCUUUUUAGAAGAACAUUGCAAAAAUAAAAAUAAAAAUCAAAUCCCAUUUCUGUAAUGUUAAAAUUCAACUUUAUUUUGCCCUAAGCAGUUUUUUAAAAUGCUUUUUGUAGAAGAGAAGAGAAGAGAAUUUUACUUAUUUUCCUCAUGGAUCAUUUUAAACAUUAUGGUUAUGGCACUGAAACACUUGCAGAGCAAAAUUGGUGAUUUCAUACACUGGGGUUUCUUCGAAGUAGUAGAACAUUUUCAUUUACUUAGGAAUAAAAACGAUGCUACAGGGAGCAGCAGAAAUAGGACUUUAACUGAAAGACACCCUUGAGGUAUUCUGAAAGAGCUGGUGGGAAAUUCUAGGUAUUAAAACUUUGAUAUGCACUAGGAUAGGAUGGUGUCUAGUUAAUUUUUCUACCCAGAAGACGGGUAUUCAAAACCAAUCUCUUAUCAACUUUUCAGAGAGAAAAUGCUAUUCAGAGACUUCUAGCAACAGUUUGGAUGUUGUGAGAAAGGACAUGGAUUUGUUAAUUGUAUUUUCAAAUCACUUUUCGGGUUCAUCGUUUUUUAUGUACUUGAACCACAAAAAUCUAACACAAGGUGUACUUUCAAAAUACUUUCAAUAACCAUGCAAUGUUUUCCUUUCUUUAUAUGAGACAAAAGAUGCAUGUUGAAAAAAACAAUUUUCUACCCACCAGAAAAAUAAGGAAAAUGAUGAGUCUCCAGUUUUUUGGUGUGUGAACAAGAAUGCUAUAUUAUACAUUCUGGGAUGUUGCCAAUCUUUAUCAUGUUCAAAUAUGCAACUUCCAAAUAUUCUUUUUUGGGUAAAGUCAGUGCUAAUUGAUAAUUUAACUUCCAGAUGGAUUCAAUAGAAGCAAAACAUUAGAUUUUUCUGCUAGAGUUUUGCCUGCUCUUUACUUUGCUCCCCAUUCCUUCUCCAACCCUCUACCAUAGAAACAUACACAAAAAAGGCCCCAAAGAGAUAGGUACAGUGGUACCUCUGGAUGUGAACGGGAUCCAUUCUGGAGCCCCGUUCGCAUCCUGAAGCGAACGCAACCCGCAUCUGUGCGUCUGCACAUGCGCGGGUCAUGAUUUGCCGCUUCUGCACAUGCACGUGAUGUCAUUUUGAGCGUCUGCGCAAGCAACGAAACCUGGAAGUAAUACAUUCUGUUACUUCUGGAUCGCCGCGGAGCGCAACCCGAAAACGUUCAACCUGAAGCAACUUCAACCCGAGGUAUGACUGUAUUAGAUUGGUGGUUUCCAGAGAUCCUUUACUAGCUGAACGCUAUUUUCAGAUUGUUACUCUAAGCCAUAGAGAGAAGGGUUACUAAGGAAACCAGGAACUAUGGUAACCUGGGCAACCUUACGGGUCCCAGAGAAAGAUGGGGGACCCCCCCCCCAAUUCAUACUAUAUAUGCGUGUGUUCAGCUGCAGGUCUUAUUCCUUUCUUUAGAGGACAGAUGCAACAAUAUUUUCAUUCUUUUCCCCCUCAAGAAUCUAGAAGAAUUUCAUGAAUCAUGUCAAGUGAGGAAAUGAAAGACACUUUUAAAAACAGGGUCUCUACCUGCUGAGUGCAAUUUGAAGUUGUGCCAGGCCAAAUCAUCCAAGAUUAAAGAUGACAUUAAGAAAAUGUACUAUUUUUGACAUGUUCUUAUUAACUUAGCAGCAUGCUAAAGGUAACAUGCAAUUAUCAAAGGGGUUUAAUAAUUGGUAUUGUUACACACCACCCCAAUCUCCACAGCCAUGCAAGAUUCCAGAGGUUACAGGCGCAUACCCAGGGUUCGUGUUUGGAAUUUGGAAAUGAGGCACAGUGGAGACAGCGGUGUCUUUAUGAUAUAUGGUUUAUUUACACAUACAGUGGUACCUUGGUUCUCGAACUUAAUCCACUCCGGAGGUCCAUUCAACUUCCGAAACAUUCAAAAACCAAGGCACAGUUUCCGAUUGGCUGCAGUAGCUUCCUGCACUCAAGCGGAAGCUGCAUCAGAUGUUUGUCUUUCAAAAAACCUUCAAAAACUGGAACACUUUCUUCCUGGUUUUCAGCAUUCAGGAGCCAAUUUGUUCAUCAACUAAGCCGUUCGAGAACCAAGGUUCCAUUGUAUACUGUGGAGGGGCUCAAAGCAUUACACUCCUAUUGGGUCUUGCUCCCUCCAUAAGCACAGCCCUGGAUCCAAAAACAAAUAACCCAUGGUAUUUGUUCUGCAGCUCACAGUGUUUUGCAGACUGCCCCCCUUCACCUCCAGCUCACAUCACAGCCAAAACUCUAAAACUCUAUUCUCAGGCUUUUGUCUUUCUAACUAAUUCUGAGUUAACAGAGGGGUCCCUCCCAUUUGCCAUCUGGCACAAAGCCAGUGAGGUGUAGUGAUUAAGAGUGGUAGACUCGUAAUCUGGUGAACCGGGUUCGUGUCUCCACUCCUCCACAUGCAGCUGCUGGGUGACCUUGGGCUAGUCACACUUCUUUGAAGUCUCUCAGCCCCACUCACCUCACAGAGUGUUUGUUGUGGGGGAGGAAGUGAUAAGAGAACGUUAGCCGGUUUGAGACUCCUUUGAUAAAGCGGGACAUCAAAUCCAAACUCCUCCUUUUCUUCUUCCUCCUCUUCUUCUUCUUCUUCUUCUUCUUCUUCUUCUUCUUCUUCUUCUUUAUCCCAACUAUGACCCAUCCUGGCUCCUAGCUUGUAUUUUUAGCACGGCUUAUAUUUUAACAUGCUAAUUUCAGCAUCUGGCACCCAGGAAUUAGAAGGGGAGUCCAGGUGCCCCACAAACUUAUAACACUAUAAUAUAGCCCUUUUCACUUGUUGUAAUACACAUGUAGGGGUGCUGUGCACUGUGGUAUAGUUCAUAGUGCUGCAUGCAUAUAACGUGUAAAGAGCUGUUGUAUACAAAACAUUAUACAGUUGAUUUUCCAGCUUGAAUCUUGACGACCUACCCUCCAGUAUACAAUGCCAGAGUGCGUAUGCAGGAUCUCUUAAAAGGUAAUUUUGUGUUGAUCCUGAGGGUGCAUACUUGAUUAAGAAUAGAUGAAGUCCAUUUCGAUGUGACAUCCAGGUCCACCUAGCUCAGCGUUCUUUCCAAUACUCCCAACAGCCAACGGGUACUAAAAGGCCUAUAUUUAAAAAGCCAAUUGUCCAUUGAUGGAUUUUGGUUGACCUUCUGCCCAUGCCUGGAUUAUAGCAAUUGUGAAGUCAAGUAAGGUGUGAAGCAGCUUUAUAUCAAAAUAAUAAGUACCAUUUGCAGGGGAGGGGACAGAACUGACUUGUGCAUGAGCUGCGUUUGAGAUAUUCAGCUUGCAAGCACUUAAUUCUGGAAAAAAAAUAGAGGUGUGUGUGCAUUGUAAGAUGAAUUAACCUGUUUCUCCUUAGAGAUCUGACUCCCUGAACCACUUCCCAAAAGAGGUCCAGGAGUUCAUGCACCCUAUUCCCCAAACUGCUGUCAGCUACAUCCCAUUGCCACACUCUGCUUUCCCUGGGCCUUACCUCUGCCUUGUGAUGGCUAUUCAGGAAAUGACACAGUAAGUAUAUUAUACAUGCAUACGUAAUACAUUUAUUGAGCUGACAUUAAAAAAGCAGUGAAGUCAAAGAUAAAGGCAAGGGGCAGUACUGCCCUUCAUUGGCUGAUGAGAUGCACAACAAUAGAAAAUAAGAUUGCAAUGAGGUCACAUCAGGAUUCCUCAUCUACUAAAUGUCACUUGGGGAUAGAAGAAAAGGAGAAGUGAGGCUGCUGUUUUUAGUAGAAGCAACUCAUCUCCUGAAAUGUGUACACAAUAAAACACCUGGGGAAAGGUCUAAGAAAGUCACACCACCAGCAAUCUCACAAACUACCUGAUCCUAUGGUUUGCUACACUAAAUUAUGUCAGCAUAAAAUGUAGCUGUGAUCCUUUGCACUCUUAGCCUUAGAAAGAAAAACAGUACCAGAGGAAGUAAGAGAAAACUUAGUAAGAUGGAUACACAUUUCCACAGGCCUGCAGCAACUUCCGCCGCCACCACCCAUUCUAAUAUGUUUAGGAAAACAAGGGUUUCACUUGCAACCACCUCGGUGGGUUGCCAGGAAAUAAAGUGGUAUUUAAUGUUUAUCAUAGGUAUAUAUCUCACCCAAAGUUUGCGUUCUUGGGCCUGGAAUGCAAAUCUUAGUAACUUGCAAUACUUGCCUCAAAUGUGAUACAAGGGUUUCAACCCUCUAAGUUUCUCUAUGCUUUUACAUGCACAGACACCCCACCAAAUCCCCUCUGACUUCUAAUUCCCAUUCACCCAUAAAUACCCACUCCCUUCCCAGUGCAAGUCUCCAACCAUUUACUCAUAUUUGACUUUCCCAUUUUUUGAGGAUGUGGAAAUACACACUGGGAUGGAGAGGACUAUGCGUGUCCAUGUGUCUGUGUCCCCGACUUUUAUAUCUGCCCCCUGAAUGUUCAUAUACCUACCUUCCUUCUUCUUCUUCUUCUUCUUCUUCUUCUUCUUCUUCUUCUUCUUCUUUUCGUUCUGCCCAGACACUGAGGUCCAGCACUGAGGGCCUUCUGGCGGUUCCCUCGCUGCGAGAAGCCAAGUUACAGGGAACCAGGCAGAGGGCCUUCUCGGUAGUGGUGCCCGCCCUGUGGAACGCCCUCCCACCAGAUGUCAAAGAGGAAAAAAACUACCAAACUUUUGUUGUUGUUGUUUAGUCGUUUAGUCGUGUCCGACUCUUUGUGACCCCAUGGACCAGAGCACGCCAGGCACUUCUGUCUUCCACUGCCUCCCGCAGUUUGAUCAAACUCAUGCUGGUAGCUUCAAGAACACUAUCCAACCAUCUCAUCCUCUGUCGUCCCCUUCUCCUUGUGCCCUCCAUCUUUCCCAACAUCAGGGUCUUUUCCAGGGAGUCUUCUCUUCUCAUGAGGUGGCCAAAGUAUUGGAGCCUCAGCUUCACGAUCUGUCCUUCCAGUGAGCACUCAGGGCUGAUUUCCUUCAGAAUGAAUAGGUUUGAUCUUCUUGCAGUCCAUGGGACUCUCAAGAGUCUCCUCCAGCACCAUAAUUCAAAAGCAUCAAUUCUUCGGCGAUCAGCCUUCUUUAUGGUCCAGCUUUCACUUCCAUACAUCACUACUGGGAAAACCAUAGCUUUUACUAUACGGACCUUUGUUGGCAAGGUGAUGUCUCUACUUUUUAAGAUGCUGUCUAGGUUUGUCAUUGCUUUUCUCCCAAGAAGCAAGCGUCUUUUAAUUUCGUGGCUGCUGUCACCAUCUGCAGUGAUCAUGGAGCCCAAGAAAGUAAAAUCUCUCACUGCCUCCAUUUCUUCCCCUUCUAUUUGCCAGGAGGUGAUGGGACCUUUUAGAAGACAUCUAAAGGCAGCCCUGUUUAGGGAAGCUUUUAAUGUUUAAUAGGUUAUUGUAUUUUAGUGUUUUGUUGGAAGCCGCCCAGAGUGGCUGGGGGGACCCAGCCAGAUGAGUGGGGUAUACAUUAUUAUUAUUAUUAUUAUUAUUAUUAUUAUUAAGCACAGUACUUCCAGUCAAGUUCCGGGUGUCCUGAACUGGUGUUUGUCAAAAUGUAAAGAGAAGAGUGAUCAGAUGGUGGAUCUCUGCAGUCAUCUAUUUUGAUUCUGGGAGCAGCAUCCUCCAUUGUAACUCUGGAGGAAGAGGAGGAGGAGGUGGGGAGCCAAAUCUCUGGGACUCGCCACUAAAUUUAUUAGGACUAACCCCCCCCCCGCCCGCCCACAGAUAUGACAGUAUCCCAUCUUUUUUGUGGGCAUCAACCACUGAAUAGGCAGGGAUAAAAACUAACUCUGCUUGUCCCCUGGUUCCUUCGCUUUUUACACCUUUUACCAAUGGCACACUAUCAACAAUGUAGAUAUCCUGGCAUAAUGUUACAGUAGUGCAGUGUACAUAGAAGAUGUACACUUACAUGUAUAUUUACAUAGAAUAUAUUGUAAUAUUCAACCCGUACUCAGCAUUUCUUUCUGGACAAUGCCCCCCCCAAAGGCCAAUGAUAGACAGGGCCAGAGGCAAAAACAGGUUGAGAAAGACAUUAUUGGAGUUCAAGGACACAUUGAAGCCAGAGAAAGAAAGAAAGAAAGAAAGAAAGAAAGAAAGAAAGAAAGAAAGAAAAGAAAGAAAGAAAGAAAAGCAGGACCAAUGAAUGGUCCUUCAUUAUGUCAACAUAUCUCUGGUUUCACUGAAGCAUGAGGAUUUAGCAGCAAUUAUUAUUUAGUAUUACUUAGUAGCAAUUAUGAGCACCGCAACCCCAGAGUCGGUCACAACUGGACCUUAAUGGUCGGGGGUCCCUUUACCUUUACCUUUUAUGCCUUGCUGAACAGGCAUAAAGACAUAAUUUGAAGAUAGGAUUUGUACUGUUAUUCGUUUAAAAACGUGCAAAUAAUGACUUGCCAGUAGUUCCCUGUGAAACUGAAUCUUUAAAAAGAAAAAGAAAAUGAAAUCAUGCUAAAAUUUGUAAAAACAGUACCUUGCAGUUUGAAAAUUAGCUGCUGGGUUUUUUACAUAUUUGGGUGGGAGAAGCAUUUGCCAGCUCAGUGUGUUUGGUUAGAUGUUAAGGCUAUAUGAAAUGACUUUUAUUUAUUCUUCCACUCACUCUAGAUGUGUAGUACAAUUCAAAUCUCACAUCAUGAGAUGUUUUCUGACUUUUAAAUAAUUGUUAUCUGCUGAAUAAUUAUCAGGUUUGCAUCAUGCACCCAUAUUCUGGACAUGUUCUCAUGUGCAUUUUUGCUGAAAUAACAAGGAUGUGCCUGUAGUUGCUGUAACUUUUAUAACUUGCAGUAGUAGUAUGUGUUACACACAUACACUCUUGUUUGUUUGUUUUUAGAUGACAUGCACGGCUACUUCUCUGAAUGACAACCUGAAAAUGCAAGCACAUGAUCAUGAAUGAAUUCUUGUGUAGUCUGUGAUGAGCUGGAUGUAAAAUUCCUGGAUCUGUGGCAGUCUGGUGCAGCGGCUUGGAAAUUCUAAUGCAGUUUAAUUUAAAUUAAAAAUGAA